rnacentral:lncRNA from 1 species
CUCUCCUUGGGGCCCUAGAACCUUCUUGGUUACCUUAUCACACUGUAUUGUUACCGUUUUAUAGUUCUCCUCAUUGCAUCAGAAGCUCUUUAAAAGCAGGGACCUUGUAUUCUUCUUCUUUUUUUUUUUUUUUUUGCACCACACCCAUGGCAUGCAGAAGUUUCCAGGCCAGGGAUCAAACCCACACCAUAGCAGUGACAAGGCCAGAUACUUAGCCCACUAGGCCACAAGGGAACUCCAUUCUCUCUCUCUCUUUUUUUUUUUUUUUUUUUUUUUUUCCUUUUGCAGGGCCGUUCCCACGGCAUACGGAGGUUCCCAGGCUAGGGGGUCUAAUCCGAGCUAUAGUUGCCGGCCUACGCCACAGCCACAGCAACCCCAGAUCCAAGCCGGGUCCGCGACCCACACCACAGCUCACAGCAAUGCCGGAUCCUUAACCCACUGGGCAAGGCCAGGGAUCGAACCUGCAACCUCAUGGUUCCUAGUCAGAUUCGUUAACCACUGCGCCACAACGGGAACUCCUCCAUUCUUAUUUUGAAUCACAACACCUGUCCCAGGAGCUGAUGUGGAGCCGGCAAUCUAUAAAUUCUCAUUGAAUGCACCGUGCAGACACUGUGACGGCUCAAUUCUUAUACACCACAUUGGAAGAGAAUGAAGAAAACAGCAGAACUCCUCAAAAGGCAAAUGGUGGAAUGGUUCUGGCUCCUCGGGAAAGGGGACAGACGAUAGUGCAAGAAACUCUGGGAGGCUGUACGAGCAAGAAGGGACGCGGGGACCUCGUGGAAUGCAUUGCAUUUAGGGAGGAAAAUCUCCUUUAUGCUUAAGGUACCAAUUGUUUCUUAGUCUUUUUUCAGGUCUUUUCUGUGAAGACCUGAAAAAGGACAUUUGGGAUUGUAAUCAGUGCCUUUCAAGGAAGAGUGGGACUGGAUGUGCCAGGACGUGACAAUGCUCUCGCCCACCGUUAUGCCACCAUCAGAAGAGAGACAAAGGAAGAAGCUUUGGAAGAGAAAGAAGAAGCCAGAAUGAGACUGGAGAAAAGUUUAUGAAAUCAGAAAAGAUGAAAUGACAAAACAGUUAUGUUUUGAAGUCCACAGAAGUGGUCCCCUUAGAACACGGAAAGGAACCAUGAAAUAUUCCAGAUGGUAGGCGGUAAAUUCAUAUAACAUAUGGACGUGAGAAAAGUCAUUAUUUAUAAUACUCAAAAUGAGUAUUGAAAAAAUUCAAUUGUAGAUCAACUAUAAUAAAAUUUAAAAAAGAACAAAAUUUCUGAAUGAC